rnacentral:rRNA from 1 species
UACGAAGGGGGCUAGCGUUGCUCGGAAUCACUGGGCGUAAAGCGCACGUAGGCGGCUUUCUAAGUCAGGGGUGAAAUCCUGGAGCUCAACUCCAGAACUGCCUUUGAUACUGGAUGGCUUGAGUUCGGGAGAGGGAUGCGGAAUUCCAGGUGUAGCGGUGAAAUGCGUAGAUAUCUGGAGGAACACCGGUGGCGAAGGCGGCAUCCUGGACCGACACUGACACUGAGGAGCGAAAGCCAGGGGAGCAAACGGG